CAGCCCGGUGCGAUACGCCCCGGCACGGAGCAGAAAGACCGCGGUGAGGCCCCGCGUUAUCCCUGCAAGGCCAUGGAGAUAGGCAAUAGCGCAAGUUGGCACGGCGCCUGCUUGGGUUCUCCCGACAAUCGACAACAAAGCGCCUGCCUCAACGACGAGGCGGCGUUUCCCGACCGAACGGGACCUGGACAAAGGCGUCCUGCUGGCAACAGCGGGACGCC
rnacentral:sRNA from 2 species